UUUAUGCGGGUGCAGCAGAGGUCAAAUGUGGACACUGAAUUGAGGGCAUCGGAUUCCCUGGAGCUAGAAUGCAGUUGUUAACUGGUGCUUACUGAGGAUUUUCACUUGGUAAAAUUACAGAUGUAUCCUGGGACUAUUUUACAGUAUCAAGUUUUUCUCUGUCACUUGUAUUUGGUGUUAAGGAGCUAACAGAUAACUAGGCCUGCGUGUCCAUCACCUGCACCUUCUGAGACAUACCAUGGAAUUUAAAGUGUUCCUGAGACUGAGGGCCAUGAUCCCUGGCCACGAGGUCACUGAGAAUCACUAAAUUGUUCAAAGAGACUGUUGAUGGAGAAAUAAGCAGAGAUAAUUAUCACUGCCCGAUCCUACCAAAGAACCAUAUGUCCAAACACAUUGUCCUUCUUCAGCUCCACUCCCCUCUUACCCCAGAAUGACUUCUGAUAAUGAACAACAUCCUGAUGUUGUCUUGGGAA